GAGGGUAUAGCUCAGUGAUAGUGUGUGCUUCCCAUGCUCAAAGUCCUGGGUUCAAUUCCGAGUGCCUCCA
rnacentral:tRNA from 1 species